rnacentral:rRNA from 1 species
CCUACGGGCGGCAGCAGUAGGGAAUCUUCCGCAAUGGACGAAAGUCUGACGGAGCAACGCCGCGUGAGUGAUGAAGGCUUUCGGGUCGUAAAACUCUAUUGUUAGGGAAGAACAAGUGCUAGUUGAAUAAGCUGGCACCUUGACGGUACCUAACCAGAAAGCCACGGCUAACUACGUGCCAGCAGCCGCGGUAAUACGUAGGUGGCAAGCGUUAUCCGGAAUUAUUGGGCGUAAAGCGCGCGCAGGUGGUUUCUUAAGUCUGAUGUGAGAGCCCACGGCCCAACCGUGGAGGGUCAUUGGAAACUGGGAGACUUGAGUGCAGAAGAGGAAAGUGGAAUUCCAUGUGUAGCGGUGAAAUGCGUAGAGAUAUGGAGGAACACCAGUGGCGAAGGCGACUUUCUGGUCUGUAACUGACACUGAGGCGCGAAAGCGUGGGGAGCAAACAGGAUUAGAUACCCUAGUAGUC